rnacentral:lncRNA from 1 species
UGUCUCAAAAAACCAAACCAAACCAAACCAAACCAAACCAAAAAAAAAAAAAAAAAAAAAAAAAAAAAGAUUCCAACCAGGAUAAUGGAAAUAAAUAACAUCAGUGUAUGUGUGGGGUGUGUGUGUGUGAAGUCCAGGCCAUGCUAGUUUUGUAGCUCACCUGUCAGUCUAACAGCAUCUCAAUCCAAGUGGGCUCUCUGGGGAAAGACAUACAACAGUCAUCACUUGGACUCUAUUCCUUUGUUGCCAAAGGGACAUUUGCUUAUACUUGGUUAUAAGAUUUCAUUAAAGUAGUCUCAGUGUUUGAAACAGCAGGGUGAAUAAAUUGAGAAAUGUCAGGGAAUGGUAAACCAGGAAGCUGUCUGCAGAGGCAGCUCUGUGGAAGUGAUCUUGAAUCAACCUUCCCUAGUGUUUCCUUCUUUGAUGAUGCUGUUAAAGGGGGAAACUUGAAUGGGGGUGGGGGAACAGGACAUUAAGGCUUGUGUCACACUAGCAGAAGGCAUGGUGUGUGCACGUGAAUGUGUGAUCUUGAAUGGAACAAUAUUCAGAAUAUUGGGAACCAGUAUCUUGCCUCAUUUAAAUACUCCAUAAAGGUUUCUGAGAAAAAAUAGUAACCAAUAAUGGGUAUAUGAUUAUCAUGUACAUUCAAAAUGAUGGACUGCAAUGGUGUUUGUCAAGUGUGCGAGCACAUGCGAGCAUGUGCGCGUGCACACACACACACACACACAGACACACACACACACUCCAAUGUGUUUCCUGCUCUCUAGGAGAUUAAAGGUUUACAAGAAAAGGCAAGCUAGAAAACAGGUGAAUAAGUUAGAGCGUGUUCAUUGCUUGGAAGGAAAGGAAGUAAGAGAUGGUGCUUUUUAGGGUUUUGUUUCAUAGUGUUCUGAAACAGGAUGCAGGGUUUUUCAGUUGUAACUUUGAGACUAAUUCCUUCACUUGUCAACUGUUACUAUGUAUUCUAGGGCUUUGUUACAUAGACUUGAUACCUUGUUUAUUUCUGAAGCCCAAUAGUCUAUUCACAUGCAAAAUAAUUAUAGACUAGCUAAGGACCCCCCCCCCCACACACACACACACAUACACAUAUUUAUUGCAACAUUGUUUAAACAUUUUUAAAUGACUUAUUUUUACUUUCUGUGCAUUUGUGUUUUGCCUGCGUGUGUGUCAGUGUGAAGGUGUUGGAUCUCCUAAAACUGGAGCUACUAGACAGUUGGGAGCUGGCAUGUGGGUGCUGGGAAUUGAACCUGGGUCCUCGGAAAGAGCAGGUAGUGCUCCUAUCCAUGGAGCCAUCUCCAGCCUCUUUACAUUUAUAUAUGUGAGGAGGAGCGGAGGUGAGGGUUGCUGCUGGUGGUGGCAGCCGCAGCCGCAGCUGCAGCUGCAGCUCACUUCUUUAAUCCCAGAGUUUGGGAGGCAGAGCCAGGCAGUUGUCUGGAGUUUGAGGCCAGCCUAGACUACAGAGUGAGUUCUAGGACAGCCAGGGCUGUGUUUAGACCCUGUCUCAAAAUCACCAAAAAAAAGAGAGGGAGAGAGGAAAGAAGGAAGAAUGGAAGUCAGACAGACUGAUAACAGCUAUAGUGGUACUGACUCGACUUCCCUGGUUAAAGUCACCACUUGACAAGAUGACCUUGCUCUCUGUUGAUGGAAUUUUUUUUCUAUGGCCUUCACAGUUCUGGGCAAGUAAUCUCAGACAUCUGCGUGUAAGAGACUAGUGGGCGAGACGUUUCGGGGGUGAUGGGAGUAUCCACAAGAAAUAUGAGUUUAGUUGGGCCUGGUGAUGAAGCCCAUUACUGUGGAGGUUGAAAACAGGAUGAAACCUGCCUGGUUUGCAGAGUUGAGACUUUAUCUUAAAAACAAACAAACAAACAA